GUGCCAGCCGCCGUGGUAUUGGAUUUGCUUCAUGCUAUCACCUUCAUUCUAGGGGAGGGGAGGAAGGGGACGUGCAGAGCUUUGCUGAUUUUGUGCUGCCAUCAAAAAUGGGUUUUUCGAUUCCACUAAGAGAGUUGGGGUAAGACAUGCUCUGACCUGCUGCUGCCUUUGUUUAGAGGGCCAUGAAUUGACUGAGACUGCUGAAUGCACAAGGUGCCUUUGAAAAGAAACCCAAUUUAGCAACAUAAUUUCAAAAUGAAAGCACAUUUCAAGGCCCACAAUGAAGAGACAAAAUGUUCAAGCCCAGAGCUUUACAACAACCCUGGAAAGCAGACAAGGUCACUGUCUCUACUUUACCAAUGAAGAGGCAAAGAAAAUGCCAGAAGCCACGGAG